UUGAUGUAUAUUACAGCAAGCGUACAACGUUGCACGAGGAAAUGAGAAAGGCGAGAUUUGUCAGAGCGCUCAAAACGAAGAGCUUGAACCAACUGAAGGAGGUAGCACUGAAGCUCUUCAUCAUCAGCUUUUUCUAGAACACUAACGGCAUAGGCACGAACCUCUUCACUCUCAAAAACAGGAGAUAGAAGUUCCAGUGCAUCACAUAGGUCAAUUGAUUCCCACUUGUGCAUCAG
rnacentral:misc_RNA from 1 species